rnacentral:lncRNA from 1 species
GGGUGGUGUCAGGUGUGAUGAAGGAGAUUUUUCUGGGUGAAAAUAUCCUUAACCUGUUGGAGCAAACCAAUCAUGUUUGUAAUUCCUAAGUAGACAUCACAUAGAAAGUCCUUUGGUGUUGAUGAUUCUUCUUGAAAGUUCAAUCCUUCCAUGAAAUUCCUCCACUUGAUGGCGGUCUCAUAUACCAUUGCCUGGAGUUGCAGCAUCACUGCCAUUGCCUGUUGGGACUGGCCAUGCGGCAUACAUAUACCUCUAUUAUUUUGGUUUUUGGUUUAAACUAAGCAUAGUGUAGACAUGUUGUUUUGUUGUCUACACAACUGCCUCUUGCUACAAGGAGUGGCUAGUGUUAAGUGUGACGAAGGAGAUUUUUCUGGGUGAAAAUUUUUUUAACCUGUUGGAGCAAACCAAUCAUGUUUGUAAAUUCCUAAGUAAACGUCAUAUAGAAAGUCCUUGGGCGUUGAUGGUUCUUCUUGAAAGUUCAAUCCUUCCAGGAAGUUCCUCCACCUGAUGACGGUCUCAUAUUCCAUCGUCUGAAGCAGCAGCACCGCUGCCGUUACCUUUCAGGACUGGCCAUGGGGCACACAUACACUGCUGUUCUUUUGUUUUUUUAUUUUAAAAAACUAAACUAAGCAUAGAGUAGAGAAUUGUUUCAUUUCUACUCAACUGGUUCUUGCCAAAAGGAGUGGCCAGUGUCAAGUGUGACGAAGGAGAAAAUCUCCUUAACUUGUUGGAGCAAACCAAUCAUGUUUGUAAAUUCCUAAGUAAACGUCACAUAGAAAGUCCUUGGGUGUUGAUGGUUCUUCUAGAAAGUUUAAUCCUUUCAGGAAGUUCCUCCACCUGAUGGCAGUCUCAUAUUCCAUCGCCUGGAGCAGCAGCAUCGCUGCUGUUACCUUUCAGGACUGGCCAUGACACAUACAUAUGCUGCUAAUUUUUUUUUUAAAAAAUAAACUAACAUAGAGUAGGCAUAUUGUUUUGUUUUCUACCCAACCGCUUCUUGCUACAAGGAGUGGGUAGUGUCAAGUGUGACAAAGGAGAUUUUUCUGGGUGAAAUCUCUUUUAACUUGUUGGAGCAAACCAAUCAUGUUUGUAAAUUCCUAAGUAAAUGUCAUAUAGAAAGUCCUUGGGUGUUGAUGGUUCUUCUUGAAAGUUCAAUCCUUCCAGGAAGUUCCUCCACCUGAUGGCGGUCUCAUAUUCCAUCGCCUGGAGCAGCAGCAUUGCUGCCGUUACCUUUCAGGACUGGCCAUGAGACACACAUACACUGCUAUUAUAUUAUUAUUAUUAUUUUUAAAAGGAUUAAACUAAGCAUAGAGGAGACAAUGGUUUCGUUUCUACCCAACUGCUUGCUACAAGGAGUGGCUGGUGUCAAGUGCGACGGAGGAGAUUUUUCUGGGUGAAAAUCUCCUUAACUUGUUGGAGCAAACCAAUCAUGUUUGUAAAUUCCUAAGACAACGUCACAUAGAAAGUCCUUGGGUGUUGAUGGUUCUUCUAGAAAGUUCAAUCCUUUCAGAAAGUUCCUCCACCUGAUGGCGGUCUCAUAUUCCAUCGCCUGGAGCAGCAGCAUCGCUGCCUUUACCUUUCAGGACUGGCCAUGAGACAUACAUACACUGCUAUUCUUUUACUUUAAAAAAAAAAACUAACAUAGAUUCGGCAUAUUGUUUUGUUUUCUACCCAACUGCUUCUUGCUACAAGGAGUGGGUAGUGUCAAGUGUGACGAAGGAGAUUUUUCUGGGUGAAAAUCUCUUUAACUUGUUGGAGCAAACCAAUCAUGUUUGUAAAUUCCUAAGUAAACGUCAUAUAGAAAGUCCUUGGGUGUUGAUGGCUUUUCUUGAAAGUUCAAUCCUUCCAGGAAGUUCCUCCACCUGAUGACGGUCUCAUAUUCCAUCGCCUGGAGCAGCAGCAUCGCUGCCAUUACCUUUCGGGACUGGCCAUGAGACAGACAUGCACUUUUGCUCUUUUGUUUAUUAUUUAAACUUAUCAUCACUAGAUGCAUGUUGUUUCCCACCCAGCUUGUAUAUACAUGUGGGUUUUAUGGGAACUUGAAAAGCAAUUUAAGUGGGAUCAUGUGGUGUUUUCAAGUUUUCACCAUGGUAUCUUUGACUUCUAAAAUCUUGCUUAUAGCCUGCAGUAAAAGCAUGUCUUGUAAUUCAUUACAUUCUGCAAUUGUCCCCUU